CUCCAGCUGGUAACGCUAUUUUGGGAAGUGUUGGGAAACUGAGGAAGUGGUGGCUGCCUGAAGGAAGUAGGUCAUUAGGGUAAGCCCUCAUUGGUAUCUGGUCCCAGACCCUCCAUGUUUGUUUCUUUCUGCUUUCUAUAUGUGUGAGGUGAUCAGCUUCUAUAUGCCCUUGCCACCAUGAGGAAAGUGAACAGUGGCUGCUCUGAGCCAAAGCUAAUAUUUUGUCCGGUAAGUUCUUUGCUCAGGUAUUUCAGUCACUACUACAGAAAUCUUGAGAAAACAAGUACAAACGAAAUGGGGUCAUGGCUGAGAUGGCACAAUUGUGUGUCAAUUGUUUUCAGGGCAUUGGAACUGGUUUGUGGAAGACAUUGGAAAGGUCUAGAAACAAGCGAGUCAGGGAAAACCUAAGCCAUUAUAACUAGAACUUAACAGACAGUGGGAGUGUGGGUAGACCAGGAAGCUGACAGAAAUGUGCACAGUAAAAUCUGCAUUCAGGAGGCUUGAGGUUAAAAUGGAGACCUGGAGAAAGUUGACUAGUGGUCACCCUGUUAUAUCUCGGUCAAUAACUUAUCCAUAGUCUGUCCAGGUCCUGAGCCCUUGCCUAGAGAUAGAUAUGUAAAUAACUGACUAAUUAAUUUAAAAGGAAAUUUCAAGAUAGGAGAUGGUUCUGGCUGUGUACAGACAUUGUCGGCUGCUUUGAGAUAAUAACUGGAGACAAAGUGCAGACCAGAAAGCUCUGAGAAACAAGGGAAAUUGGAUGUGAGCAGCAGAAUUUUGUGGUUGGAACUUGAAUGAGCUCCACGAGCUCCUGUGCUUAGUGCUUGGUUUCCAAUUCCCGGUGCAAGAGCACAGCCACGGCUUUUGACUGGGUUCCUUUUCUUUGCCAGUUAAAGAAUUAAAAUGCAGGGAAAACACCAUGAGCUAGACAGGUAGCCGUGGGGAGAUCUCCAAUCCCACUGCUGGGGGACGACUAUCAUAAUUUUUUAGCCAAAUCUGAAGCAAGUUUUAUUGAGUACUGGUCAGGACCGUGGAUACUGGUCCUGACUUAAAGCACAUCACAGAAUAGAACACUUUCUUGUAUGACUCAAUUCCUCAAAAUCGCUAAAGCUUAACAGAAUUCUUUAAAAAGGCGAUGCAUUUGGAAGGCCUGUACUCUUUCCGUCAGUCUCGGUCAGCCUGAGUAGACCUCUGCUAAGGAGAAACGUCCUAUAGGCUUUGUGCAGACCACUUAGUAAGGUGUCUUGUUGCACACAUGAUGGGAGUACCCAAGUUUCUGUGCUCACAGCUGCAGCCCUCGCCCUUUGGCCUUUUAUUUGUAUAUUUUCAAGAUUACAUUUUACUAAACACAUCGGAACCUAGAACCUUUUAUAAACAUAACAUGUCCCAUAGCCUUAUACAUUUAAAUAUUUUAAAAGUUGUUUCUUUUCUUUAAAAAAAAUCCAGUUUUAUUAAGUUUUUUUUUUUUUUUUGCAAAACCCAAAAUUUCCUUUUAUAGCAAAGUUUAAAAUUUCUCAACUGUGCUCUCCAGCAGUAUCAAGGCAUAAAUUAAGUACCUUUUUUUUUUAUUCAAGAGGGAAAAGGGCACAGACACAUCUGGACCAGGCAAGACAAAGCUCCAACAGUGAGGGUAACUCAGUGCCCAGCAUCUGGGGUUCCCUCGGAACCUUACAGGAUCCUCCCUGCAAGGGGCCUGAGUCACCUCUGACUCUACCUUUGGCAGCCCACACAGUCUGUCUUCUAGGCUCCAGACCGUUCCGAUGCAUUGCUGGUGUUCUCUCUGGUGGCUGUCAGACGGCACAGGCAUCUCCAGGCCUCUCUUUAGGAACUCCAGCCCUUCUAUACAGGGGCAAGCCUCAGUUGUCCUCUGACAUUACCAAGUUCAGCCAUCAGCACACCGUAUGCUCUUACCGACGAACACACAGAGGUGCACCUUAAGUACAUUAUUGAACAAAUGUUGUUUUUAAAUCAUAUCUUUUAUGAAGCUCAUUUUUACGACUCUUAUUUUUAAGCAACAAUUAUUACACAAAAAUCCAUCCUAAUCCAAAAUCUCUUAGACAUGUUGUUGCCUUCUUAGUUGAUUUAUACCGUGUGGUCGCCUCCAAUCAAGAUGGUGGUGAAGUCAUAUCCUCUUUAUGACCUUCACUACACAGUCAGGAGAGUGGGCCCUUCGCCUCACCUAUACAGCACAGUAGAGCUGGCCCAGGAGGUAGGGGUUGAAGGUGAGCUGUCCCUGAGGCUGCGAGUGCAGGAGAGCUGGUCCUGCCUCUUGUCUCUUGGGUGGUGGAGUAGGUAAGGGAAAGAUGGCCUCCUCCCUUCCCUCUUCCCUUGCCAUUCAUGGCAGGUGGGAGAACUGGUCCCAGGGCCAUGAGAGUGGGAGAAUGGGCCACGUCACUCACAACACUCAAGAGAGAGAACCCUGCACUACACGGGAGCAGCUAGCAGGCUGACCAGCUCAGAUAUCUCUCAGGUCAAGAUUCAGGGAUUUGAUUUGAUCCACCUCAUUGUCUUUCCCAUCUAUGAAUUGCUGGAGUACACGAAGAAGGCAGUCCUAUAGAUUAAAGGCUACAGGAUCUCCAUGACAACAGGGCAACAACAGGAUGUCUGAGAGGGGUCCCGGUGAGGUUCCAGUAUUGCUAGAGUAGCAGAAGCCAGAGGCCUGGGAGCAGACCAACAAGUCAUUCAUUGCAAUGAACACUUGCAAGCAAAGAGGUGUGGACAAAAGGGUACGUUGUGGGACACACUAUGACACACUGCAGCUUCCACAAAAUUUUUCUUUCCUCUGUUGGGGGGACGGUUGCAAGGGUGGAGGGUAAGUACUAGGGGAGGGGGCAAUGAGUGGGAGUGGGGAACAUGAUAUGAGAUUCACAAAGAACCAAGAAAAAGUUGGGUUGAUAAUUAAAAAUCUAUACACAAGUAAUCCUAAAGGAACCAUGAGGUGUGGCAUCAUCCUGGAUGUAAUCAACAUGGCCACCAUCUUAACUGAUGCUCCCCAUAGGAUAGAAGACACAUGUCCGGCGGCCAUUUUUACUAAGGUUGCAGAGGAUAAGUGGCUAAGAGUGCAGGCCUUAAGAGUGCACCACCUUUUUAAAAAUGUUGUUAAGCUUUUGCUAUUUUGAUAAAUGGAGUUAUACAAGAAAGUAUGAUAUUCCGUAAUGACACUCUAUAAGGACCAGGGAAGCAAAGUCUUCAGUGUCCCUGUGAGACUUUAUUUAUGGCUUCAAGUUUUAUUUUGAUUCUAAAAGAGCCUCAAUUCAAAGAUGGUUUUUGUUUUUGAGGCUAAACCUAGCAAGGAUGUAAGGGCAAAUUUAUAAAAGCUACACCUUUACAGUUGUGUGGUUCUCCCACUCUCAUGGCCCUGGGGCCAGUUCUCCCACCUGCCAUAGAUGACAAGGGACAAGGGAAGGGAGGAGGCCAUCUUUCCUUACCUAGUCCACCACAGGACAGACAAGAGGCAGGACCAGUUCUCCUGUACUCAAAGCCUCAGCGCUGGCUCACUUUCGACGCCUACAUCCAGGGCCAGCUCUACUAUGCUGUACAGGUGAAGUGAAGGGCCUGCUCUCCUGAGUGCUGUAGCAAGUGAAGGGGAAAAGUUUUCCUACUCUGAUGACUUCCAAGGGUUGGGUGGGGCAUGGGGCAGCUCUCCUGCCUGCCAUAAGUGGCAAGGGGUGGAGGGCAGGGGGGCUCUUCUUCCUUGCCCAUGUCAUCACAGAAGGUACGGUCAGAUCACCCACACUUAUGCUCUUAGGGGCCAGCUCCCUCGUACCCCCACCACCAAGAUCAGCUCUACUGUGCUGUCCAGGUGACGUGCAGGGCCACUGGUGAGGAGCAAGGACAGCUCUCCUGCUCUCAUGACCACAUGGCCAGGACUCCUACCUACCACCAGUUCGGAGUGCAGAGGGGAACAAGCAUACCUCCUGAUGUACUUCCUGCCUGCCUACCUCCUGCCUAUAUGUGACCAAGCACACAUCCUUUACGGUUGGAGCAAGCAAACUUGUUUACAGAAGAAAAAAAAAAACCUGGCUUAUUAUCUUUCAUGAGCAGCCCCCAUCAUUCUAGGAGCUAUCUAUCCUUGGGUAAGCAGGGCUUACAGGUGAGAGGUAUUUCCAUUUUAUAGAGCUCUCUUAAUCACAGUAAUUAGAACUUAAAACAUAACUUUAGCCAUCACAAACUCUUGAUCAUGGCAAACAGGAGCAGAUAGAAUCAGCAGUUCGUAAUGGUUUGUUCUGGAAGUGAGGAAAGACACACUUUGCAGCAGGUACACAGAAAAGAAGACCAUCUGCUUGCUAAGCAGAGGGGGAACUUGGGAAGCCAAAAAUCCAGCCUCUUCUCUAGAAGUUUUUCAGUCUCUGAAGGGUUUUCCCCUUUAAUUUAAGGUCAGUCAGCUUGAAGAAAGACAGGCUGGCUGAUUGCCUCACAGGUGUGUAAGGAUUGCCCUGACCAGCCUUUGAGCUUGUUAAGUCAGCCCUACCGGCAGGAGAAAAGUCCCUCAUAGCCUUAGCCUGCUAAAUGUUUGUCUCAGCUCAGGAAGGUGAUGAAGAAUCCAGCCAUCUUGGAAGUUCACCGUCUUUACUACCUUAGUCAUGAGCCCUCUCCUUAUCUGUUUGCCUACCAGGAAGUCUGUCCCACACUACUUCAGGAUAUUCUAGUAACUUGAGAUCUAAUUUUGAGAUUUACUUAGUGGGACCUAAGUAAAUGAAUCACACUGAGGUGCGACAUAUAAGUUAUGCUGGUCAUCACUUGCUUCCUUGCUCUCUGCUUCCUGUCUCCUACAGAGCAAAUGCUUCUUCCAGUCUGUAUCCCUGCUGCCCUGGUGUUCCUCUGUCCAAGUGUAUGAGUUCAAGCUGCCAUCGACUUGAUCUUCUGAAUCCGUGAGCCCAAACAAAUCCUUUUUCCUUCACGACAUUUGAUCGGAUUUCUUAAGCACAGCUGUGCUAGAUUUCAGAGGCAGCACAAAGGGACAGAAGGCAGGAGGAGACCAGGGUGUGACCUCAGACAACAUGGUAACCGCGACAAGACGUCCAGGAAGAAGUGUUUGGAACUCACAUGUUAAUUUCUGCUGGCAUCUGAGGGAAAGGUUCAGUUGGGCGUCAUGGGUGAGUCUUCUACCAUAAAAGAGCCCAGAAGUCCAGAACACCUUAAUAAAUGUGCAAUGGAGACCUGAAGCUGUUAACUAAUGGCCGUGAAGAUACACGAAGCCUCUAUUAAAUGCCAGAUGUCCUCUCUGAUCUGCACAUUGUUCUGAGAUGGCUGUUAUGUCAUGCGGUGAGAACUGUGUACAGUGAUUUUACAGUGAGGAAACAAACCUGUGAUUUGAUGAAAGGAGAACCAUUUUAAAUUAUAGUUAUUAAAAUUAUAUAAAUCCAAA